UACAGAGGGGGCAAGCGUUGUUCGGAAUUACUGGGCGUAAAGGGCGCGUAGGCGGCCUUCUAAGUCGAACGUGAAAUCCCAGGGCUCAACCCUGGAACUGCCUUUGAUACUGACGAUCUGGAGAUCGGGAGAGGUUGGUGGAAUUCCGAGUGUAGAGGUGAAAUUCGUAGAUAUUCGGAGGAACACCAGAAGCGAAGGCGGCCAACUGGCCCGAUACUGACGCUGAGGCGCGAAAGCGUGGGGAGCAAACAGG
rnacentral:rRNA from 1 species